UGUAGCAAGGUUAACCGUAUAGGGGAGCCGUAGGGAAACCGAGUCUUAACCGGGCGUUAAGUUGCAGGGUAUAGACCCGAAACCCGGUGAUCUAGCCAUGGGCAGGUUGAAGGUUGGGUAACACUAACUGGAGGACCGAACCGACUAAUGUUGAAAAAUUAGCGGAUGACCUGUGGCUGGGGGUGAAAGGCCAAUCAAACCGGGAGAUAGCUGGUUCUCCCCGAAAGCUAUUUAGGUAGCGCCUCGUGAAUUCAUCUCCGGGGGUAGAGCACUGUUUCGGCUAGGGGGCCAUCCCGGCUUACCAACCCGAUGCAAACUGCGAAUACCGGAGAAUGUUAUCACGGGAGACACACGGCGGGUGCUAACGUCCGUCGUGAAGAGGGAAACAACCCAGACCGCCAGCUAAGGUCCCAAAGUCAUGGUUAAGUGGGAAACGAUGUGGGAAGGCCCAGACAGCCAGGAUGUUGGCUUAGAAGCAGCCAUCAUUUAAAGAAAGCGUAAUAGCUCACUGGUCGAGUCGGCCUGCGCGGAAGAUGUAACGGGGCUAAACCAUGCACCGAAGCUGCGGCAGCGAACGUAUCACCCAAGACAACUUUACGGAGUUGACGAUUGACGGAGCGAAGCGACGUCAAAGCGUUCAUUAAAGUCGAGUUGGCUUAGGGAUACGUUCGUUGGGUAGGGGAGCGUUCUGUAAGCCUGUGAAGGUGUGUCGUGAGGCAUGCUGGAGGUAUCAGAAGUGCGAAUGCUGACAUAAGUAACGAUAAAGCGGGUGAAAAGCCCGCUCGCCGGAAGACCAAGGGUUCCUGUCCAACGUUAAUCGGGGCAGGGUGAGUCGACCCCUAAGGCGAGGCCGAAAGGCGUAGUCGAUGGGAAACGGGUUAAUAUUCCCGUACUUGGUGUUACUGCGAAGGGGGGACGGAGAAGGCUAUGUUGGCCGGGCGACGGUUGUCCCGGUUUAAGCGUGUAGGUGUGUGUUCCAGGUAAAUCCGGUUCACUUUAACACUGAGGCGUGACGACGAGGCACUACGGUGCUGAAGCAACAAAUGCCCUGCUUCCAGGAAAAGCCUCUAAGCAUCAGGUAACACGAAAUCGUACCCCAAACCGACACAGGUGGUCAGGUAGAGAAUACCAAGGCGCUUGAGAGAACUCGGGUGAAGGAACUAGGCAAAAUGGUGCCGUAACUUCGGGAGAAGGCACGCUGACACGUAGGUGAAGUGAUUUACUCAUGGAGCUGAAGUCAGUCGAAGAUACCAGCUGGCUGCAACUGUUUAUUAAAAACACAGCACUGUGCAAACACGAAAGUGGACGUAUACGGUGUGACGCCUGCCCGGUGCCGGAA
rnacentral:rRNA from 1 species